AUGAGCCUCCCUUGGGGACAGAGGCCCCAGCUCCUUUACCCCUGGUGUUGCUCCCUCUCCUGCCACAUUGCUCCCAGCUGAGUAACACCUGGCCUCCGCUGCCUUUUCUGAGCUGGUCUGAUCCUAGCUGGACCCUGUGCCUUCUUGGUGGCAAGAAUGGCCCUACUUUGGGCUUGCUGGCUGCUUUCUAAUGGUUAGAUUCAGGCUGCCCAUUUUUUAGCAGGAGUAUCGGAGAAGUGAUGUGGCCUGCCUCACGGCCUCGUAUCACGUUUUGUUCCAUUAUUGACCACAGUAAGGGGAAUCUCCACACCAGGAUUUUUCUCUGCAGUUAUCGCCUUGUGCUUAUUAAGAUACAGGACCUAAGUGGCUAAAGCUGGCUUUGAACUUGUGAUCCUCCUGCCUCCACCUCUAGAGUCGCUGGGAUUACAGGCAUGCACCACUGCGCCCAGGGCUGUCUGCAUUUGUUUGAUUUUGUUGGACUGGGCAUGGAACCCAGGCCCUCACACCUGAAGCUCUCUACCCGCAGUCCUCCGUUUGUAUUUAGUGAUCAGUAUGGAGUCAUAGAUUUUUGUUUUAGCCAAUGAGUUGUGAUCCAUUAUUGCUAUAUUCAUUUUCACACUUGAUUUGGUCUGAAGGAGCCCCUUUAAGCUGGAUUCUGUAUUCCUUUAACACAUCUCAACAUUCUUUGUUUAUCGGUGUUAUGGGCUGAAUUAUGUCCUCCUUAAAGUGCAUAUGUAGAAUCCUAACCUGCUGCGAGAUGGGGUCGUUAAAGCCCCAGACAAGAGAAUCCCUGGGGAGGGCCAGGUGAAUAAGUGGCCUGCCGCUCCCAGGAGCCUCAUGGUGAGAACAGCAAGGGCCGCCAGGAGGGGGCGCGCGUGCACCGUUGAACUGCUGGCGUCCUGUGCUGAGUCCCGGCAGCCCACAGAGGGCGCUCGCCCGUCUUUCCUGACCCAUCGCAGCCUCCCCAGUGCUGAGGAGUCCACUGCGGACAGAGCUGCUCCUCUUUUAGGACUGACCCAGAAGGCGCCCCCGGCUGCUGUGCAACAGUCUGGGGGAAGCUGGCCUUGGGUGUCAUGGACAACUGAGAUGCUUUGAUGUGGGAGUAAGCAAAUACACGUGUAAGAAGAGAAAAGGUUCAAAAUCUUCUAAACACCAGGUCCUUUUCCAAAGAGGUCAAGAAACAGGGACUAACCUAGGAGCAGUUACCACCCCUCCUCCUCCUCUUCCUCCUCCUCCUCCUAUUAUUAUUAUUAUAAUACCAGGGAUUGAACCCAGGGCACUUAACCACUGAGCCGCAUCCCCAGUCCUUUUUAUUUUGAGACAGCAUCUAGCUAAGUUGCUUAGGGCCUUGCCAAGUUGCUGAGGCUGGCUUUGAACUUGUGAUCCUCCUGUCUCAGCCUCCUGGUUGAUGGGAUUACAGUCGUGUGCCAUUGCGCCCCGUCCGGUUUAUGAUAUUUUAUAUAUGGUUUUCCAUUGAACCAAACUUCUGGGAGCGAUGGCGGAUUGCAGAUCUUGAGCAGAAAAUGUUCAAGAUGGGGAGGAACAUCUGAUCAUAGCAAAGCAAGGGAGCUACCAGAGAGGUCCUGGGUCAUGUCAGAACUCCCUUUUGAUGCUCCCAGAGGCCAAAGCUGGGACAGUCAGAGCAUCAACAAAGAUAAUAACUGCAAUGGAUUGCAACACAUCGAACAUGUUUAAAGCCAGGAGAUCAUACUGAAACUAAGAAAAAACCCUGCCCAGUUAGUUGUUAAUUGGAAGAUACUAGUGAGCAACUUGUUAUUUUGAAAACAGGUGAAGGAAGGGGCAGAAUCCAGCUUUUACCUUCUUUCCCAUACAAACUUUAUCAUGCAGUGGUCAAGACACAGGUGGAGGAAAAUCUGAUUUUUAUCAAGUUAGUGAUAAAGAAAUAGCCUCAGUAUCAUCGCAUUAUUUUGUAAUCUUUAAUAAAUUGAUGGGCAAUGGAGACCUCACGUGCCUCUUGAUGGAAGGACAACCAGGAACCCAGAGUAAAGAAAACGGGAAGCUGAGUUGAUCCAGCCUCUGGAUCAACACAGGGACUACAGGGGAAAGGGACCUGUUAAACAAUGUGGUAGGAAGCACUCGGCAACAUCCAGGCUGCGGGAAACUCAGGAGACAAACAGCCCACUGUCUGCAACAAAGGAAUCACAAGGGGGCCAAAAAGAGAAUGGAAUAAAGAACCUACAGAGUAAGAGGUUUGAGAGAAAUGCCGAUUGAUUUUGAUAUAUGAAUUUUUAUGAUUUUAACGUGUGACAGUUGUGAAGCCCCUGGAGAUUUAAACACCAACUGCGUGUUUUAUACUUGAUUUUUUUUUGUAGUUGUAAAUGGACAGAAUGCAUUAAUUAAUUUAUUUAAAAAUAUUCUUGUAGUUGGAGAUGAACAGAAUGCCUUUGUUUUAUUGGUUUAUUUGUCUGUGGUGCUGAGGAUCGAACCCAGGGCCUCAGCACAUGUGAGGCAAGUGCUCUGUCCCUGAGCUACAGCCCCAGCCCGUGUUUUGUACUUUCUAAUGAGCUACCUAGUGAAAUGUUUAUGGAUAAGAUCACACAGUGGAGGGGAUUUCUUUUGAAAUAUGAUACGGGGAGACUAAGGGUUGUAGAUAGGUUGGUUGGCCAGGAUAAUCACUGAAGUUGGCUGUUGGGGACACAGAGGGUCAUCAUAUUGUGUACUUUUGUCUAUGUCUGAGCAUAUCCGAGUAAAAAGUUAACGCACACACGCAAAA